rnacentral:rRNA from 1 species
GAAUGGCAAGGAGGUGUUUGCAACUUCCUAGAAUGGCGGACUGGUGAGUAACACGUGGGUGACAUACCUUCAGGACGGGGAUAGCUUCUAGAAAUUAGAAUAAUACCGGAUACGACCACUACCGUUAGAGGGUAGUGAGGAAAGGGGCUACGGCCCCGCCUGAGGAAUGGCCCGCGGCCCAUUAGCUAGUUGGUGAGGUAACGGCCCAGCAAGGCGAUGAUGGGUAUCCGGCCUAAGAGGGUGAACGGACACAUUGGGACUGAGAUACGGCCCAGACUCCUACGGGAGGCAGCAGCUAAGAAUAUUCCGCAAUGGGCGAAAGCCUGACGGAGCGACGCCGCGUGGAUGAUGAAGGCCGUGAGGUUGUAAAGUCCUUUUGAACCUGACGAAUAAGCGCUGUAGGGAAUGAUAGCGUGGUGACGGUAGGGUUUGAAUAAG